CCUGCCGGAAGCCAUUGCUAUUGGGAUUCGAUUUAGCCAUGCUAGUCGCACGAGUUCAGACUCGUGGCGAAUAGCUCAGUAACACGUGGCCAAACUACCCUUCGGAGCACGAUACCCUCGGGAAACUGAGGCUAAUAGUGCAUCCCGCAUCACACCUGGAAUGAGUGAUGCGUCAAACGCUCCGGCGCCGAAGGAUGUGGCUGCGGCCGAUUAGGUAGACGGUGGGGUAACGGCCCACCGUGCCAAUAAUCGGUACGGGUCAUGAGAGUGAGAACCCGGAGACGGAAUCUGAGACAAGAUUCCGGGCCCUACGGGGCGCAGCAGGCGCGAAACCUUUACACUGCACGACAGUGCGAUAAGGGAAUCCCAAGUGCGUAGGCAUAGAGCCUACGCUUUUGUCCACCGUAGGGAGGUGGACGAAUAAGGGCUGGGCAAGACCGGUGCCAGCCGCCGCGGUAAUACCGGCAGCCCGAGUGAUGGCCGAUCUUAUUGGGCCUAAAGCGUCCGUAGCUGGCCGCGCAAGUCUAUCGGAAAAUCCACCCGCUCAACGGGUGGGCGUCCGGUAGAAACUGCGUGGCUUGGGACCGGAAGGCGCGACGGGUACGUCCGGGGUAGGAGUGAAAUCCUGUAAUCCUGGACGGACCGCCGAUGGCGAAAGCACGUCGCGAGAACGGAUCCGACAGUGAGGGACGAAAGCUAGGGUCUCGAACCGGAUUAGAUACCCGGGUAGUCCUAGCCGUAAACAAUGCCUGCUAGGUGUGGCUCCCACUACGAGUGGGUGCUGUGCCGUAGGGAAGCCGCUAAGCAGGCCGCCUGGGA
rnacentral:rRNA from 1 species